GCAGUGGUGGUUCAGUGGUAGAAGUCUUGCCUUCCACUCAGGAGACCUGGGUUCGAUUCCCGGCCAACGCA
rnacentral:tRNA from 1 species